UACAGAGGUGGCAAGCGUUGUUCGGAAUUACUGGGCGUAAAGCGCACGUAGGCGGUUAUUCAAGUCAGAGGUGAAAGCCCGGGGCUCAACUCCGGAACUGCCUUUGAAACUAGAUAGCUUGAAUCCAGGAGAGGUGAGUGGAAUUCCGAGUGUAGAGGUGAAAUUCGUAGAUAUUCGGAAGAACACCAGUGGCGAAGGCGGCUCACUGGACCGGCAUUGACGCUGAGGUGCGAAAGCGUGGGGAGCAAACAGG
rnacentral:rRNA from 1 species